CAAGGUGCUGAAUGCCAGUGUCAUCCCGAGGGCCAGUUCAUUGACAACAAGAGGCUUCAGAGAAGCUGCUUGGGUCAAUUGAUAUUCCACUAUGGCAGUACAAAUUCGGACACACAAAGGUGUUCUUCAAGGCGGUCUGCUGGGUGUCCUUGAGGAGAUGAGAGAUGAAAAAC